ensembl:lncRNA
GGCAGGUGAUGUGGAGGGUUGUGAAUUACCGCCCACUUUUCUGCAGCGCUGACGGCCGGCUGGCCUUGAGCCGGGAACACGACAGUGUGGAUGGAGGUCAGAGGUCACGACAGGAGCAGCGUGGGUAAAGUGAGGGCCAAAAUAAGCAGCAGAAGUGCACAUCUAUUUCCUCUAACUCAAGAGUGCGGGGGAGAAAAGUCAGGUCGCAGCGCCAUUUCCUGCCUGAUCCCUAUCUCGCUCUCCAUUUCACUACACAACACCUGGGAGAACACACACACACACACACACACACACACACACAGAGCCGUCACAACACAAUCGACACAUGGAAAACUCUUUGCAUGUCUUCAUGUACUGCAGUGCACCAAAUUAAACAGUACAUCAAUUAAAUGAAAAUCAUUUACUCACCCUUAUGACAUUUGUAUGACUUUUUUUGUGAAAUGCAAUUAAAAAAAUAUAUUUUUCCAUAUAAUGUCAAUAUUUUUGUUUCAACCCCAGUGUUCUUUAAGAUAACUCCUUUUGUUUUUCUGCAGAAGAAAGUCAUUUUCAGACAGAAUUGUCGCUGGUGUCUAGAGCUUUGCUAGAUGGUUGCUGUCUUGUUGUGGGUGGUUGCUAGGGUGUUACUAGGUGGUUACUCUGUGGUUGUGAUAUCAUUGUGAGUGGUUUCUAUGGUGUUACUAGGUGGAGUGGUUGAUGUUUGCUUUGUUUUGAUUUCUAGGGUGUUGUUAGGUGGUUGCUUUGGUGUUGUGGCUGGUUACUAAGGUGUUGCUAAGGUGUUCUGUAAUAUAAUUAUUGUAGGUGUUCUGUAUGGUUGUCAAGUUGUUUUUAGUGGUGUCUAGGGCUUUGCUAGAUGGUUGUAGUUUUGUUGUGUUUGGUUGCUAGGGUGUUACUAGGUGGUUGCUAAAUAGUUUUGGGUGGUUGUUAGGACUUUGCUGCAUUGUUGCUGUGUUGUGGAUGGUUUCUAGAUGGUUACUCUAUAUUGGUUCUUGUUGUGAGUGAUUUAUAAGGUUUUGCUGGUUGUUAGGGUGUUGCUAAGUAUUUGCAAUGGUGUUUUGUAAAAGGUUACUAGUGUAGAUAGUUGCUAAGGUGUUCUGAGUGGUUGUCACGCUGUUUUGGAUGGUGUCUAGGGCUUUGCUAGAUGGUCGCUGUAUUGUUGUGGGUGGUUGCUAGGCUGUUGCUAGGUGGUUUGAGAGUGGUUACUACAUGCAAACAGCCCUGGGCAAAAAAUAAGCAUAUGGUGUAUACAUAUGUUUGGUCCGAUGACUGCACCACAUUACUAUGGUGUUCCAAUGUGGUUGCUUGGUUGUUUUGUGGUUGUUAGGACUUUGCAAGAUAGUCACUGUGAUGUUUUGUCUGGUUGCUAAGGUAUUGCUAAGUAGUAGGGUGUUCUGGAAGGUUGCUAUGCUUACCAGAGUGGUUUCUAGUACAGAUCUGUGUCUUGUUCAUCCAUUAACAAACACAAUAAUAAAUUUAAAAUGAUUUAAGUCUCUCUGUAGAAG